UCUGAAUGAGAAAUUAAUCUCUGACUUCUUCACCAAAUAUUUGGAGCUGGCUGCAGCAUACCAUGAAUCCUCACAGCAACUUAAUGAGGAAAAAGAAGAACUGAUUGAAGAGUGGCAACCAGAACCUCUUGUUCCUCCUGUCCCAAAAGACCAUCCUGCUCUCAACUACAACAUCGUUUCAGGAAAAACAUCAAGAAAAGGGCAGUAAGAAUGUUAUUUAAAAAUAUGGAGGUAAAUUUCAGAAGAAAAUGCCGAAAAUGUUUGCCUUUGGAAAACGAGAAUCAAGGGUGAGAAUGGAAACAUCUGCGUGAGAAGGGCCCCUCUCAUAAAAUGAAAACAAAGGACAGAAAGCAUUGCUGAGGGCUUAAGGUGUGGAUGAAAUGACACAUUGAAGCUGAAGAAUCCCCAUGUUGACAGCAUUCAAUCCAAGAAAAGCUCCACUGUACACAUGUUCUAACAUAUGAGUGAUCCAAAAGAGAGAGCUUCACAUACAAUAUCCUAUGCCUACUUUCUCAGCUCAGAGAGAGAGGCUCAGUCAUUCAUAAACUGGAGCAACAUUCAUGUACUGCGGACCACUUUGAAAGACUUAUCUGUCUCCUGUUUACAGAUGUGUACAGCAAGCUGCAAAGCACUGCCUGUCCUUUUACUCACAAUCAAUUGCAGAGAACAUGAAGUACAGAAGACAACAGCUUUUUUUUUCUUUUGGAAAAUCCCUUAAGUCCUUUCCGUGCUGUGCUAUCAUUGUUCAGGUGCUAAAGUGAAAUAAAUGUGUCGUCUAAUCACUAAGGUGUCAUGAACUCAAAAAUUUAACUGGCAGUGAAGAGUCA
rnacentral:lncRNA from 1 species